GAUGAACGCUCGUCGGCGUGCCUAACACAUGCAAGUCGAACGGACAUUUUUUGGAAAGCUCUUCGGAACUGGAAUCUAAAUGUUAGUGGCGGACGGGUGAGUAACGCGUGAGCAAUCUGCCUUUCAGAGGGGGAUAACAGCCGGAAACGGCUGCUAAUACCGCAUAAUGCAUUGGAUUCGCAUGUUUCUGAUGCCAAAGAUUUUAUCGCUGAAAGAUGAGCUCGCGUCUGAUUAGCUAGUUGGCGGGGUAACGGCCCACCAAGGCGACGAUCAGUAGCCGGACUGAGAGGUUGAACGGCCACAUUGGGACUGAGACACGGCCCAGACUCCUACGGGAGGCAGCAGUGGGGAAUAUUGCGCAAUGGGGGCAACCCUGACGCAGCAACGCCGCGUGAUUGAUGAAGGUCUACGGAUUGUAAAAAUCUUUAAUCAGGGACGAAGAAAAUGACGGUACCUGAAGAAUAAGCUCCGGCUAACUACGUGCCAGCAGCCGCGGUAAUACGUAGGGAGCAAGCGUUAUCCGGAUUUACUGGGUGUAAAGGGCGUGUAGGCGGGCUUGCAAGUUGGAAGUGAAAUCUCGGGGCUUAACCCCGAAACUGCUUUCAAAACUGCGAGUCUUGAGUGAUGGAGAGGCAGGCGGAAUUCCCAGCGUAGCGGUGAAAUGCGUAGAUAUUGGGAGGAACACCAGUGGCGAAGGCGGCCUGCUGGACAUUAACUGACGCUGAGGCGCGAAAGCGUGGGGAGCAAACAGG
rnacentral:rRNA from 1 species